UUCAUGGAGAGUUUGAUCCUGGCUCAGGACGAACGCUGGCGGCGUGCCUAAUACAUGCAAGUCGAGCGGACCGACGGGAGCUUGCUCCCUUAGGUCAGCGGCGGACGGGUGAGUAACACGUGGGUAACCUGCCUGUAAGACUGGGAUAACUCCGGGAAACCGGGGCUAAUACCGGAUGCUUGAUUGAACCGCAUGGUUCAAUCAUAAAAGGCGGCUUCGGCUGCCGUUUACAGAUGGACCCGCGGCGCAUUAGCUAGUU
rnacentral:rRNA from 1 species